GAAUGGGUAGAGAAACUGCAGCAAUAAGCAUUCACCUGCAGUUCCUAGUCGUGACUCACCAAGCAGACAGCUGACUACCCCCCUACCUUACCUCACGCCAAUGCGCAUUAGCUCUCAUCAGUCAAAGUGACAAUGUACACCUUUACACACCUAAAAUACAGGGAUAGAUCAUAAAAAAACUAUACAGUACACACACUGCUCUGCAAGAGUGUUUGUUUAAACAUAUUUUGCACACAUUAGCUAGACUAAAAGUCCACUCCCUGUGAUGCUGCAGACCCCAUGCGUGUGGCAUCAUGCUGGAGGUCCAUCUGUCCAUAUGAUACAAAAGAACUACAGCGUUUAAUAAUGGACUCGAUAUGCUACACUGUAACAAAGCAGGAACAAACACACAGCGGUGUCUUUGUACGAAAUCACGCCUUAUCCACUAGUAAGUGCACCAUUCGGAGAGUUUUGCAAUCUUCCGAAAUGGAGAACAACCACAGCACUCGUUGAAUGCUUUGCUCUAGAAACACAGGAGAGCCUGGAGCCUGUCCCAGGGAACUCGGGGCACAAGGAAGGAGUGCCAACCCAUCACAGGGCACAAUCACACACACUCACAGACUACAGACAACUUGGAAAUGACAACCAGUCUACCACACAUGUCUUUGGACUGGAGGAGGAAACCGGAGUACUCGGAGGAACAUGCAAGAUCCACACACACACAGGGCGGAGGCAGGAUUCAAACCCACAACCCUGGAGGUGCCAGAGAGGAAAACUUGGAGCAAAACUGAAAAAUAAAAUACAAAUGACAAUG